CUAACCUGACUAUAUAAAUUCAACAUAUAUAACAUCACAAAAUAGACUCUCCACAUUUUAUUAUGAUCAAGUUUUGUGUUACCUCAUUUUGCCUUUUCGCAUCAACACUGUAACAGUGUAGCUCCAACCGUUUCUAGUGCAGGUCACAAAAAAUAUAAUAGUUGGUAUCUGACCAAGUCUUAUAUUCGAAAUCUAAUUACUUUACAUUUUCAGCCAUGUUUAUUUUUAAUAAAACAGAAACGAAUUGCGAAUAGCGUAUUGCGUUUCUCUCAAAUAAUUAUAAUAGCCGGUCUAUUUUUAGAGCGUACUUUAUGAUUUAGAAGAAUAAUUAGGCUUAAUAAUAAGUACCACUCCUCCACUUUACUCUCUGUCUCAUAUACUCUCCUACAUAAAAAAUUUAAACAAUAUCAAUCUUGUACUUAUUUGUCUCAAAUAGAUUACAUUAGAAUCUUUUA
rnacentral:lncRNA from 1 species